UCCCAGACUCCUACGGGAGGCAGCAGUGGGGGAUAUUGCACAAUGGGGGGAACCCUGAUGCAGCGACGCCGCGUGGGUGAAGGAGUAUUUCGGUAUGUAAAGCCCUAUCGGCAGGGAAGAAGCAAGACGGUACCUGACUAAGAAGCCCCGGCUAACUACGUGCCAGCAGCCGCGGUAAUACGUAGGGGGCAAGCGUUAUCCGGAUUUACUGGGUGUAAAGGGAGCGUAGACGGCAAUGCAAGUCUGGAGUGAAAGGCGGGGGCCCAACCCCCGGACUGCUCUGGAAACUGUAUAGCUGGAGUGCAGGAGAGGUAAGUGGAAUUCCUAGUGUAGCGGUGAAAUGCGUAGAUAUCAGGAGGAACACCGGCGGCGAAGGCGGCCUGCUGGACCGUAACUGACGUUGAGGCUCGAAAGCGUGGGGAGCAAACAGGAUUAGAUACCCGGGUA
rnacentral:rRNA from 1 species